CGCUGCCUUGGAACUGGGCUCCCUGCCCCCUUCCGAGGUACCGCUGCCCAGGAUGGACUGGAUGGUAAAACUGGAGAUCGGAGCGGCUGCGGGGCAACACUUGCUCGGGUCUUCUUUGUUGCUCAUCCUGGGUUCAUAAGAAAUAAGAGGAAGAAAGCGCUCCCUUUAGAGCCACUCCGGGGGAAGAUCUCUACUGAUCUCCAGGCGGCGGGGUGGCGUGGCUUCAUUUGCAUGGAGGUUACAUCUGCUCGGGCCAAUCACAGACUGCUGGCAGCCCCGGAAAGUUUCAAAAUCCUAGCCCCCCGCAAGCAGGCCCGCUGGUUUUCGGGGGGCUGCUGGCUGAAGCCAACGGAACCGGAUCGCAGCCGCUCAUUAAGCUCACAAGUGGAGGGCUCAGUUUAAAGCCGGCCGCUAAUAGGGAUAAAAUAGAGCCAAACCAGCGUCUACGUGUCUGUUCCUUCUCCACCACCUCGUCGGUAACCUUUUAGGUUGAACUGGUGUGGGCUGAAUCUCUUAUUUAAAACCGUGGGAAGUUGUUUAAAUAAACACGUUGUGCGUUUCCGUGGGUUUUCACCCUUUUGCUCAUGAACCUGAUUUGCUAAAGUCUGCUGCCUAACAAGCAACAUUUGAGCAUAAAGGUUGAAAGACAGGAGUUUUGAUGCUGCACAUAAAAGGGUAAAGGAGGUCGAGGAAAUGACUCCAGUUCCAUUUUGUCUUCCCCAGUGUAAAGGGGAAAUGCUUUUGUAUAUUUCCAAAUGAACUUUUCCGGAGCCAGGGAGCGUUCCCACACCAGAGAGAGCCCAGCCCCAGCUAAAACAGGCAAACCUGGGAGCAGAAAAAAAGCCUCCAAUUUAUUACCAUUAUUUAAUAUAAAAACGCAAGCAAAUUAGAUCUGGAAAAUUCCAGGUGCUAGAGGAGAAUUUGGUUUGAUUAAGGCACCGGCUUCCAUUUUGUAACUAAUA